rnacentral:rRNA from 1 species
UACGAAGGGUGCAAGCGUUACUCGGAAUUACUGGGCGUAAAGCGUGCGUAGGUGGUGAGUUAAGUCUGUCGUGAAAGCCCCGGGCUCAACCUGGGAAUUGCAUUCGAGACUGCGUAGCUAGGGUGCGGAAGAGGGAAGCGGAAUUUCCGGUGUAGCGGUGAAAUGCGUAGAUAUCGGAAGGAACACCAGUGGCGAAAGCGGCUUCCUGGUCGAGCACCGACGUUCAGGCACGAAAGCGUGGGGAGCAAACAGG